rnacentral:lncRNA from 1 species
CAUUAGUUGUGGCUUAUUUUGGUCUUUUAAGUUAGUUUCUUUCCCCUACAUUACUUGAUCGUUUUUGUAAAACAACAGCACUCGAGGUCUGAUAGUAUUUUACCAAGAAAUGGACAAAAUAUCCAAAAAGAAGGCUUAGAAAAUUUAAAUAUUGGUAUGCACACAUAUACUAACCUGUCAGCACAGACAAUUAUAUUUUUGUUAACGCGCCAAACUCGUUUCUUCCACAGUGCGACACUCUUUACAAUACAAUGUUGAUGGUGGUGAAAACCUAGUCCAAAUAAUUAUGACGUCUUGCAAGGCUAUUUUAUUUCUGGGACGCUUUCCUCCGACGAAGCCGAAAUGUGAAACCAAAUCAACAAGAAGUCUAACAUUUAUUAUAGAACUGAAAAUAAAAUUGAAAAUGGGGAAUGUGUCAAAGAGUAAAACAUG